GUACUUUUCAGGUACUGACCUUGCCGCUCUCUUCUGUAUUCCCUCCCUCCUUGCUGCCACUGUCUCCUGGUCCCCUUGCAUUUCUGGGAUUUCCUGGCGGCUCUUUCAGAAGUCCUCACAAAUACAUCCUCAUAGCUGCUGUUGGUGUCAGCCAUUUUCCUCCUCUUCAGGUUUGGUUCAUUUUGGUGAGGUCUGCCACCUGAAAAGAAGCAUUGUGAAGGUGGCUUCCUGUUGCCGUGGCUCCUGGUGACUGCCAUCAAAGGAGCUUGUAUUGAGGGCCCCGUCUCACUGUGCUCCCAAAGUCAUUGGUGUGUCUGCUCACCAUUACGCUGCCUAAGCAUAGUGACGGUGCUGUCUGGUGCCUCUUUGACUGUACAAUAUUUGUCACCCCCUGGUAUUUUGGAACUGCAUUGCUUCAUUUGCUAUUCACAACAAUGCUGUGAGGGCAGAAGAAACAUAUAUGAAGCCACAAUGUACCAGUUCAUCUCAAUUAUGGUUUGAAGGCCUUUUUGAGAGGAGAGACAAAUCUUUUGUUUCUAUCAUCCUCCAGCAUUAUCUUGGCACUAGUCGUUGAUCCAAAUAAGAAACUUCUUUCCUUAAGUUUCCUCACAAACAACAUCAUCCUUUUUUUUUUUUUUUGAGGAAGAUUAGCCCUGAGCUAACAUCUGCUGCCAAUCCUCCUCUUUUUGCUGAGGAAGACUGGCCCUGAGCUAACAUCCGUGCCCAUCUUCCUCCACUUUAUAUGUGGUACACCUACCACAGCAUGGCUUGCCAAGCGGUGCCAUGUCUGCAACCAGGAUCUGAACCGGUGAAACCCGGGCUGCUGAAGCAGAACGUGUGAACUUAACCACUGUGUCACUGGGCUGCUCCAACAUCAUUCUAUUUUUUAACAGGAUGUCUAAAGGCUCUGAAAAUCAGAUCCAGAGAGAUCAUUUAAUCUCUAUUUAAUCAAAAUAAUCUCAAUAGUCAAUCUAGUCUGACCUGAAACUUUGUAAUUUUAGUCCAUUCUUGUUUAAAUGAUCAACUUACAAAAACAAAUUAACCAGGAGAUCCUCUUCAAUUUGCAAAAAAUCUUUAAGGAGCAAUCAAAUGCAGCCCACAGAGGCUUUCCAGCCACCAUGUCUCUCUAACUAGAGUAACUAGUUAAGUUUCCAGUUUCCUAGAAACAGCUCAUAGUCUUUCUACAAUCUUAGCUUCUCAUCUGGAAGUGACUUGGUUUGGAUAAUAAAUUAUAUGGUCAUCAUAUUUAUAAGGUUUAGGUCCUUGGCAGUUUGCAUAUUAGUAGUUUACCCCUCUAGUGACCCUCAGGUGGUCCAUAAGCCAAGUCUACCUCUCAUGUCAGGCUCUAAUGGUGCACUGAGGAAAACAGGCACAUGGUGGGACAAUGGGCAGACCAGACAUAUUGGAACAUGCAAGCGUCUAGAUGCAGGAUUCUACAAAAAGGGGUGUCAGAGUGACAAAGAGUCUGCCAUGGAGCAUGUGAGGUCAGAGGAAGGAAGUGCAUGUGAUUCAAACAUAAAUAUAUUGAAUCAUGAUAGACAGAAGUUCUCUGGACAGAGAACAGUUAUGUGCAGACAGAAAACAGGUGGACAUGUACAGCUCACCAUGAGACAAACUGCAGUGGCAACUCAAGAGGGGAGCAUGUGAAUUUCCUGACUGUUCUUUGAGAAGAAUUGCACUGUUUGAAAAUCUUUUCUGCCUUUAGUCUAUGGAUCCUGAAAGCAGUAGAGGCAGUGGUGAUUGGGGUGAUUUGGAACUUUGUAUAUUAUGUCUUUGUUAUUGAUUUCAAAUUUUUUUUUCUGGGUUUUUUUUUUACUCCCCAGAUCCCCCUAGUAGAUAGUCGUAUAUUUUAGUUGUGGGUCCUUCUAGUUGUGGCAUGUGGGACGCUGCCUCACUGUGGCCUGAUGAGCAGUGCCAUGUCUGUGCCCAGGAUGCAAACCGGUGAAACCCUGGGCCACCAUAGCGGAGUGCGUGAACUUAAUCACUCGGCCACGGGGCUGGCCCCCCAAUUUUUUGCUAUUGGUCUAUAUGAUAUUAAUUAUUUGGGUUUUUAGAACUUUUUUCUUGUAGAUCAGUACGUGAUUAAUCUAUGUAAAUGUUGAAUAUGUGCUUGAAAAGAAGGUAUAUUCUUUAUAAUGUGAAAAUAACUCUAUAUAUCUAAUAAUAUAAUCAUUUAAAUUAUAUUAUUUGUAUCUUCUGUACAUUGGCCUACUUUUUGGCUUUUUGAUCUAUCAGCUUUUGAGGGAAGUCUAUUAAAAUCUCCCAAAUCUUCCAUCACAAUUGCCAAUUUAUCUACUUGCCUCUGUAGGUCUAUUAGUUGUUGCAUUAUAUAGUUUGAGACUAUGCUAUUAGGUCCAUAUAGGUUCAUGAUUGUUAGCUCUUAUUACUCUACUCUUUGUUUUAUGAGAAUAUAAUAUUUCUUCUUGUUACCUAUUAAAUUUUUGUCUUUAAUUAUAUUUUGAGAGAUUUUAUGAAUUCUAGAUUUCUUUGAUUUCUUUUGGUUUUGUCUGUUU
rnacentral:lncRNA from 1 species